rnacentral:rRNA from 1 species
UAAACGUCCCAGUUCGGACUGUAGUCUGCAACCCGACUACACGAAGCUGGAAUCGCUAGUAAUCGCGAAUCAGAAUGUCGCGGUGAAUACGUUCCCGGGUCUUGUACACACCGCCCGUCAAACCAUGAGAGUUGGCAACACCCGAAGUCGGUAGUCUAACCGCAAGGAGGACGCCGCCGAAGGUGGGGUUGAUGAUUAGGGUUAAGUCGUAACAAGGUAAC